GGGCUGUAGCUCAGUGGCAGAGCGCUUGCCUAGCAUGCAUGAGGCACUGGGUUCGAUCCUCUGUAACACA
rnacentral:tRNA from 1 species